rnacentral:pre_miRNA from 1 species
CUUUGUGAUCUUCCACAGCUUUCUUGAACUGCAUGAAUCGAACCGAUCGUUUUGAUUUAGCGACGGCCGGCCGGAUCGAGAGAGCAGUUCAAUAAAGCUGUGGGAAAUUGCAGAGA